GAUCAUGGCUCAGGAUGAACGCUAGCUACAGGCUUAACACAUGCAAGUCGAGGGGCAGCAUUUUAGUUUGCUUGCAAACUAAAGAUGGCGACCGGCGCACGGGUGAGUAACACGUAUCCAACCUGCCGAUAACUCAGGGAUAGCCUUUCGAAAGAAAGAUUAAUACCUGAUGGCAUAGGAUUAUCGCAUGAUAAUCCUAUUAAAGAAUUUCGGUUAUCGAUGGGGAUGUCCGUUCCUAG
rnacentral:rRNA from 1 species